AAAUUGAAGAGUUUGAUCAUGGCUCAGAUUGAACGCUGGCGGCAGGCCUAACACAUGCAAGUCGAACGGUAACAGGAAGCAGCUUGCUGCUUUGCUGACGAGUGGCGGACGGGUGAGUAAUGUCUGGGAAACUGCCUGAUGGAGGGGGAUAACUACUGGAAACGGUGGCUAAUACCGCAUAACGUCGCAAGACCAAAGAGGGGGACCUUCGGGCCUCUUGCCAUCAGAUGUGCCCAGAUG
rnacentral:rRNA from 7 species